rnacentral:rRNA from 1 species
UGGGAAUUUUGGACAAUGGGCGCAAGCCUGAUCCAGCCAUACCGCGUGAGUGAAGAAGGCCUUCGGGUUGUAAAGCUCUUUCAGACGGAAAGAAACGGUUACGGCUAAUACCCGUGACUAAUGACGGUACCGUAAGAAGAAGCACCGGCUAACUACGUGCCAGCAGCCGCGGUAAUACGUAGGGUGCGAGCGUUGUUCGGAAUCACUGGGCGUAAAGCGCACGUAGGCGGAUAGUUAAGUCAGGGGUGAAAUCCUGGGGCUCAACCCCAGAACUGCCUUUGAUACUGGCUGUCUCGAGGUCGAGAGAGGUUGGUGGAAUUCCUAGUGUAGAGGUGAAAUUCGUAGAUAUUAGCAGGAACACCGGUGGCGAAGGCGGCUAUCUGGACGACAACUGACGCUGAGGCGCGAAAGCGUGGGGAUCAAACAGGAUUAGAUACCCUUCUGAGCGGGCUGGCAAGGCGCAU